rnacentral:rRNA from 1 species
UACGGGGGGGGCAAGCGUUGUUCGGAAUUACUGGGCGUAAAGGGCUCGUAGGUGGCCAACUAAGUCAUACGUGAAAUCCCUCGGCUUAACCGGGGAACUGCGUCUGAUACUGGAUGGCUUGAGGUUGGGAGAGGGAUGCGGAAUUCCAGGUGUAGCGGUGAAAUGCUAGAUAUCUGGAGGAACACCGGUGGCGAAGGCGACAUCCUGGACCGGUAUUGACGCUGAGUGAGCGAAAGCCAGGGGAGCAAAGCGGG